AAAUAUGAACUGAAUUAGAGCAUUUUCUCCCUGUGAAUUUCAUUCUCUUUCUCUCUAAUAUAUUAGUAAUUGUAACAUCUCUUUCGUUCUUUCUCUCUCCCCUUAUUUUGAUCAUAGGUUCUAGCCUUUGAUCUUUAAAACUUUUCACUCAGCAUAGUUUUUGUAUGCGCAUUUUAGUUGCCUGGGUAUGCAUGUACUUUCUCUAUAAGCCUUAUUGAUCAGAAGUUCCAAGUGGCAAUUAAAGCAAGAGUACGAGCACCACAAUUUUUUCCUCUUCUCACUCUUUACAAAAGGAAAAUUGUAGUGUCUCCCACAAUCACAGAUUUGUUUAAAAUGACUAAAAUUUCUUAAUAUUCCCUCUUUAAUUUCUAAUAUACCCUUAAUUUCACUGGUUAAUGUUUUGAUACAGCAAUAAACAAUAUAUAUAUAUAUUAUCAGUAAGUUUCAUUAAUAAAAUACUAGUGAUAAAAUUAAUAAAAUUCUCCCCCGUAAAAAAAUCCAUGUUGUUCUUCCAAUUCCUCUCUUUUUGUUUUUCAAGCUCAGCUCUGAGCACAGUAUCUAAAUCUUUGAAGUAGUAUUAGGUGUGAAACCCUUUAAGAGGACCGGGAUUGAUGACUUGGCAAACUACUUAACAGCUUUUCCAGCAUCAAUUUUCAGUCCUAUAAAAUGUUUGUUGGUAAAUAUAUUUUCUUUAGCUCUUCUAAAUAACCACAUGUGUGUGUGUGAGUGUGUGUGUGUGUGUGUGUAUAAUAUUGGCUUCGAAGCUUCUUUAGUUAGUGGUGAAGCUGAAUAUCAUGGUUGGUUC
rnacentral:lncRNA from 1 species